GGUGGGAUCUUUCUCUGGAAGUCACCCCCCCACCCGCCGUGAAGGAUUUGAGGCUGGGCUCCAAUCGAGGCGGAGGCUGCAGGGCCCGCGGGCGCCCCCCACCCCGCGCACGCCUCCCGGGAGCCCAGGAAGGCGCAGCCCCGGGGGGCCCCCCUGCGCCCCCGGAGGAGGCAGCGGCGUGGUUUAAGGAGAUGUCGUAGAGGAUAGGAUUUGAACGCAAUGAGUGCCAGCCCGUUUGACACCCUCCAAAUCAAACACCGUUGGAGCUCUGAAUGGUAAUGACGUUAGAUCUGUCUUCAGGAGCGCCCCUCUGCUGACUUCCAACACAGACUAUUUCUUUGGUGCCUUGCUCUGAGCCACUUUUAUAGGAAACUCAGGAUCGUGUGUUCAUGGGAGCUCUCACAAAUGCUCAGCCCGGAGUAUUCACCUUAUUAAGUUGUCUUAAUUUACACACACACACACACGUACACACGCACACACGCACACACACAGCCUUGCCCUCGGUUGUGACCUGUACAGACACCCACAUACCUUAAGUUGAUUUUACUUGGAAACCUGGAUUUCAGUCGCAUGUCCACAGCACCGAACAGGGAAGUGAGCUGUACCCGGAGAACUCUGGAACACAGGGUUCUUGAUGGGAGAUUCUGUGUUUGUAACAGACAGGAGACAUGUACACAUAGAUGAUAUUUGCACUCCAGGGCCUUGGCAAAAACAGUUCUUUACUUGCCGAGUUCUUUCUCUUUGUUAGGGGACACGAUGAAACAGCACAAUUUCCGAGAGUCCACCGUCCCAGCGUGGCUCAUUGAUGGGAAAUUGUCACGUUGUGACACAAAUUGUGUUUGUGCUUUAAUGAAUCGUUGCCCCCCACCCCGCACCCCCUGCCACCCCAGAGAGCUGUCAGAUUCUAUUUGCUUUGCUAAAUAAGGAUAUCUCGCCAAAUUAGCCUGUAAUGAUACUUGUACAAAUCCGGGGUUUUGCGUGAAUUAACGAGGCCGGAACGGGGAAACGUUGCGCCAAGACACUGAGCUCUCAUCCAGGCGGUGAAGCCGUAUGUUAACGUGCCUGGAUGGCGAAGUGGGGAAAAUCAGACGGAGUUUCGUGCCGGGUGUUAAGCGAGACUGCUUUCCUGCGAGCGUUUGCAGUGGUACACGCAGCCGCCCCUGACACGCCGCGUGUAACUCUGAAUACAUUUAGCGCAACUUUUCCCCCCUUCGGAGUCUGGAAACAGGCAGGGUGGCAUGGGGAGAGGCUUGCAAAUCAGGACUCUGCAGAGAGUCUGGUACUUCGGCACAGAAUCACAGCUCCUUUGCUUAUUCCUGCCACCAUCCUCCCUCUCCCUGCCUGCAGCGAUAAGAAAACACACGUACACGCACGCGCGCGCGCACACGCAGACAGACACAGAAAUUAACAAGGAACGGCUGAAUGUGCUGAACGCAUUUUGGCUUUUCUCCUUUGGCCUCUCUGUGUGAAAUUUCAUGAAGGGGUUGCUCUCCCCAGCCCAACCCCCCACCUCCUAGAGGUGUGGAUUCCGAAAGGAAAAAAAAAAAUAGAAACUUUGGAUUUAGUUCUUAGUAAUAUACACGAUCUGGCGAAUCUCAUAGAGACACAAAUAUUUCGAAGGGGGAUAAUACGAUCUAGAGCGGUUAGUGCAAGGAGAGAAAUACUUAAGAAUAAAAUAUGCGUUUAUGACUCAGACCAACGAAAGGUGGGAAAGUCCCUACAAGGGAACACUCCCGUUUCUUGCUCCCUAGCACCCCCCCACACACACACACUCCACCUUAUAUUAAGAACAGAAAGCUGAUUCUUGCCAGGUAAAGGUAUGGCUUUCUAGUAGCAGAUCAGCUCACCCUCUUUUCAUUGGGAUGGUGGAGUAAAUACAGCUUGUUCGUUGGGGGCGGUUAAGGAUAAAAAUUAGCCAGAUCAUGGUAAAGGGAAACUCGGUCCUUAGAGUCACUUGCCAAGAAAAAAAACAAAAAAAACAAAACGUGCACACACCAACAAAAUGAAACAUUGUUCUGGAAUUUUCUCUUUGCCCAGCAUCCCAAAAUCAGGAACAUGUACGUUUUUUGUUUUUUGUUUUUUUUUUCUGUGCUGUUUAUGUACAGAACGAGGGAAACAGAACCACCACACGACCGUGAGGUAAACCACCAUCGACUGUGUAGGUCAAGCAGCCACACAGGCUUCUUGAGCAAAAGGAUGGAUGACAUAGAGAGCUGGGAAGGAGUGAGCUUUGGGGUGCUGCUGCCUGCCUGAGCCCCCAGCCCUCGUCUGGUCUCCUGCCUGGCAUCUGAGAUGAUCAGGAAGAAGAGUUCCGGAAGAAUCCAUCGAGGUCUUGGGGAAAUGUCACAGGCGAAUCGUGCAAGUGGCUUGAUGCCUCACUGUCAGUCAGUGUCACGGACUGAUGCUUCUAACUGGCUCUGGGAUCCCUGAUCUUGGUGUUCCGGGCACAGAGGAGGCACAUCUGUUUUCGAAGCCGCUGCACGGCGACCCGUUUAGCCGAUUAUCAGCCGUGGAUCAUCAGUCUUUUUGGGGAGCUGGGAAGGGCCCGCCAUGUACCCUGAAAGCUCUGGCUUGUUGAACGUUUGCUCUAACUUCGUACAUUUUUUCCUUUUUAGUUUGGCUCUUGGUGCUCCGAGAGCCACCACUUCCUGCCCAGCUGGUUUGUUACCGCAGGGAAAAUGAGGGACUUUUGGGGGCAGAUGUGUUUCCGUUCCACUAUCAUAAUGCCCCUAAAAAUCCUUAUUGCUCUUGCAGUAUUCCUCGGGGUCCCUGGGCCAGCUGGGAAGACAGCAUCUCGGAGGUCCUCCAGCGACAAAAAGAAGAGAAAGACAUUCCCCCCAAAGCUCUCCCUGCACACACGGCCCCUACACUCACACAGGGCGCAUGACUGGUUACUGCCCCAGCCACGGCCACGAGAAAGAAAAAGGCACCAUCACAGACACUGGUUGCUAAUCGUGCUUUUUUGCCCUCCAGGGGCAGAGUGUUGGAGAUCAAGGCCCGGGAAACGGCCGCUGUGGGGACUGUGCGCCGCCUCUGGGUAGGGGGAGGAGGGUGGAAAUGGGGGGGAAAGGUGGA